CUGAACCAGCCAAGUAGCGUGAAGGAUGACUGCCCUAUGGGUUGUAAACUUCUUUUAUAAAGGAAUAAAGUCGGGUAUGCAUAGCCCGUUUGCAUGUACUUUAUGAAUAAGGAUCGGCUAACUCCGUGCCAGCAGCCGCGGUAAUACGGAGGAUCCGAGCGUUAUCCGGAUUUAUUGGGUUUAAAGGGAGCGUAGAUGGAUGUUUAAGUCAGUUGUGAAAGUUUGCGG
rnacentral:rRNA from 1 species